UACGUAGGGUGCAAGCGUUGUCCGGAAUUAUUGGGCGUAAAGAGCUCGUAGGCGGUUCGUCGCGUCGGCUGUGAAAACCUGAGGCUCAACCUCAGGCCUGCAGUCGAUACGGGCAGACUAGAGUGUGGUAGGGGAGACUGGAAUUCCUGGUGUAGCGGUGAAAUGCGCAGAUAUCAGGAGGAACACCGAUGGCGAAGGCAGGUCUCUGGGCCACUACUGACGUGAGAAGCGAAAGCAUGGGGGAGCGAACAGG
rnacentral:rRNA from 1 species